GACUGCUUAGCUCAGCUGGUUAGAGUACUUGCUCGACACGCAAGAGGUCAGUGGUUCGAGUCCACUACCGCCCACGA
rnacentral:tRNA from 1 species